GCUUGUCUCAAAGAUUAAGCCAUGCAUGUCUAAGUAUAAGCACUUAUACCGUGAAACUGCGAAUGGCUCAUUAUAUCAGUCUUAAUUUAAAUGAUAGUCCCUACUACUUGGAUAACCGUAGUAAUUCUAGAGCUAAUACAUGCGUCAAACCUCGACUUCUGGGAGAGGUGUAUUUAUUAGAUGGAAACCAAUGCGGGGCAACCCGGUAUAUGGUGAUUCAUAAUAACUUUCGGAUCGAUCUUCGGAUCGAUGCAUCAUUCAAGUUUCUGCCCUAUCAGCUUUGGAUGGUAGGGUAUUGGCCUACCAUGGCUUUAACGGGUAACGGAGAAUUAGGGUUCGAUUCCGGAGAGGGAGCCUGAGAAAUGGCUACCACAUCCAAGGAAGGCAGCAGG
rnacentral:rRNA from 1 species